GCUGGUCUUGGGCUGGGCUGACCGCAGCUUCGUUGUCUCUUUUAAAUCAGCUGAGAGGAUGGAGCAAUGGUAUAAGGAGCUUUGUAGCAACAUUUACAGUGAGAACAUGGACUAUGUGGACGCCAUGCUGGAGUAUGCGGAGGACGACAUCAGUG